GUGAGGAAUAUUGGUCAAUGGGCGAAAGCCUGAACCAGCCAUGUCGCGUGAAGGAUGAAGGUCCUAUGGAUUGUAAACUUCUUUUGCAGGAGGGUAAAGUGAGCUACGUGUAGUUCAUUGCAAGUACCCUGCGAAUAAGCAUCGGCUAACUCCGUGCCAGCAGCCGCGGUAAUACGGAGGAUGCGAGCGUUAUCCGGAUUUAUUGGGUUUAAAGGGUGCGUAGGCGGACUAAUUAGUCAGCGGUGAAAUUUUGCGGCUCAACCGUAAAACUGCCGUUGAAACUGUUAGUCUUGAGUGCGGUAGAGGUAGGCGGAAUGUGUGGUGUAGCGGUGAAAUGCUUAGAUAUCACACAGAACACCGAUUGCGUAGGCAGCUUACUGGAGCGCAACUGACGCUGAGGCACGAAAGCGUGGGGAUCGAACAGGAUUAGAUACCCGGGUAGUCC
rnacentral:rRNA from 1 species